rnacentral:rRNA from 1 species
ACGCUCGACACCUACGGGGGGCAGCAGUGGGGAAUAUUGCACAAUGGGGGAAACCCUGAUGCAGCGACGCCGCGUGAAGGAAGAAGUAUUUCGGUAUGUAAACUUCUAUCAGCAGGGAAGAAGAUGACGGUACCUGAGUAAGAAGCACCGGCUAAAUACGUGCCAGCAGCCGCGGUAAUCUGAGCGGGCUGGCAAGGC